AUUCCUUUGAACUAGCAAACACUAAGUGUGGAAGGGUUUAAAUGCCACCCCAUACUUAGUUGCUAGCAUAGGUACGUAAUUUGUGAAACUAGGGUACUUUGACUUCCCUUGUUUCACAUUAUAAUCUCAUUUUCAAAGCACUUAAGCAACAGUAAACUAACUUGGGUAUUGCUUUACUCAUACUUUAAGCACACCCCACACUUUCCACACAACAUAAUCACACAGGACCAUUAGG
rnacentral:lncRNA from 1 species